UACGGGGGGUGCGAGCGUUGUCCGGAAUCACUGGGCGUAAAGAGCGUGUAGGCGGUCCGGUAAGUCCGCUGUGAAAGUCGGGGGCUCAACCCUCGAAUGCCGGUGGAUACUGUCGGGCUAGAGUGCGGAAGAGGCGAGUGGAAUUCCUGGUGUAGCGGUGAAAUGCGCAGAUAUCAGGAGGAACACCUAUUGCGAAGGCAGCUCGCUGGGACGUAACUGACGCUGAGACGCGAAAGCGUGGGGAGCAAACAGG
rnacentral:rRNA from 1 species